rnacentral:rRNA from 1 species
UACGAAGGGUGCAAGCGUUACUCGGAAUUACUGGGCGUAAAGCGUGCGUAGGUGGUUCGUUAAGUCUGAUGUGAAAGCCCUGGGCUCAACCUGGGAAUGGCAUUGGAAACUGGCGACCUAGAGUGCGGUAGAGGGUAGUGGAAUUCCCGGUGUAGCAGUGAAAUGCGUAGAUAUCGUCAGGAACGCCGGUGGUGAAGACGGGUGACUGGGCUGGUUCUGACACUGAGGCACGAAAGCGUGGGGAGCGAACGGG